ACUGCUUCUCCACCUUUUGUCUAAGAUCAAGCUUAGUAUCUGCUCUUAUCAGUUUAAUAUCUGAUAUGCCGUUUUAUCCGAGAUUAAUAUAAAUGGAUUUUUGAAACUAGGAGAUGGAAUAGGAGCUAGAUCAGUCCACAACACACAUAUCUAUCUGAUAUUACAGUACCUCCAGGAAUGGUGCACACACA
rnacentral:snRNA from 1 species